rnacentral:rRNA from 1 species
AUACGGAGGGUCCGAGCGUUAUCCGGAAUCAUUGGGUUUAAAGGGUCCGUAGGCGGGAAUCUAAGUCAGUGGUGAAAUCUUGCAGCUCAACUGUAAAAUUGCCAUUGAUACUGGAUUUCUUGAAUUAGUGUGAAGUGGUUAGAAUGUGUAGUGUAGCGGUGAAAUGCGUAGAUAUUGCACAGAAUACCAAUUGCGAAGGCAGAUCACUAACACUAUAUUGACGCUAAGGGACGAAAGCGUGGGGAGCGAACAGGAUUAGAAACCCUAGUAGUCC